CCAAUAGCGUAUAUUAAAGUUGUUGCAGUUAAAAAGCUCGUAGUUGAAUUUCGGGGUUAGUAAGUUGGUCAUGCCUUUGGUAUGCACUGGCUUUACUGAUUCCUCCUUCUUGACGAACCGUGAUGUCAUUAAUUUGGUGUUGCGGGAAAUCAGGACUGUUACUUUGAAAAAAUUAGAGUGUUUAAAGCAGGCUAACGCUUGAAUACAUUAGCAUGGAAUAAUGCAAUAGGACGUUAAUCCUAUUUUGUUGGUUUCUAGGAUCGACGUAAUGAUUAAUAGGGAUAGUUGGGGGCAUUAGUAUUCAAUUGUCAGAGGUGAAAUUCUUGGAUUUAUUGAAGACUAACUACUGCGAAAGCAUUUGCCAAGGAUGUUUUCAUUAAUCAAGAACGAAAGUUAGGGGAUCGAAGACGAUCAGAUACCGUCGUAGUCUUAACCAUAAACUAUGCCGACUAGGGAUCGGAUGAUGUUAAUUCUUUAAUGACUCAUUCGGCGCCUUACG
rnacentral:rRNA from 1 species